GAUGAACGCUAGCUACAGGCUUAACACAUGCAAGUCGAGGGGCAGCAUGGUCUUAGCUUGCUAAGGCCGAUGGCGACCGGCGCACGGGUGAGUAACACGUAUCCAACCUGCCGUCUACUCUUGGACAGCCUUCUGAAAGGAAGAUUAAUACAAGAUGGCAUCAUGAGUCCGCAUGUUCACAUGAUUAAAGGUAUUCCGGUAGACGAUGGGGAUGCGUUCCAUUAGAUAGUAGGCGGGGUAACGGCCCACCUAGUCUUCGAUGGAUAGGGGUUCUGAGAGGAAGGUCCCCCACAUUGGAACUGAGACACGGUCCAAACUCCUACGGGAGGCAGCAGUGAGGAAUAUUGGUCAAUGGGCGAGAGCCUGAACCAGCCAAGUAGCGUGAAGGAUGACUGCCCUAUGGGUUGUAAACUUCUUUUAUAAAGGAAUAAAGUCGGGUAUGGAUACCCGUUUGCAUGUACUUUAUGAAUAAGGAUCGGCUAACUCCGUGCCAGCAGCCGCGGUAAUACGGAGGAUCCGAGCGUUAUCCGGAUUUAUUGGGUUUAAAGGGAGUGUAGAUGGAUAUUUAAGUCAGUUGUGAAAGUUUGCGGCUCAACCGUAAAAUUGCAGUUGAUACUGGAUAUCUUGAGUGCAGUUGAGGCAGGCGGAAUUCGUGGUGUAGCGGUGAAAUGCUUAGAUAUCACGAAGAACUCCGAUUGCGAAGGCAGCCUGCUAAGCUGCAACUGACAUUGAGGCUCGAAAGUGUGGGUAUCAA
rnacentral:rRNA from 1 species